GAAAUGCGAUAAGUAAUGUGAAUUGCAGAAUUCAGUGAAUCAUCGAAUCUUUGAACGCACCUUGCGCUCCUUGGUAUUCCUUGGAGCAUGCCUGUUUGAGUAUCAUGAAAUCUUCAAACUAAAUCUUGUGUUAACUCAAUUGGUUUCUACUUUGGUAUUGGAGGUCUUUGCAGCUUCACACCUGCUCCUCUUUGUUCAUUAGCUGGAUCUCAGUGUUAUGCUUGGUUCCACUCGGCGUGAUAAGUUAUCUAUCGCUGAGGACACUGUAAAAGGUGGCCAAGGUAAAUGCAGAUGAACCGCUUCUAAUAGUCCAUUGACUUGGACAAUACUUUUAUGAUCUGAUCUCAAAUCAGGUAGGACUACCCGCUGAACUUAAGC
rnacentral:misc_RNA from 1 species